AGAGAUCUGGAGGAACACCAGUCGUAGGGGAUUUCUCGUUCUGUAAAUUGAUGAUGCUGUUCAAGCGUGGGGGUCAGACAUGAUGAUAUGCCUUCGUGUCCACGCGUAAACGAUGAGUGCUAAGUGUGAGGGUGUUUCCGCCCCUAGUGCUCAGAUAAAGCACUAAGCACUCCGCCUGGGGAGUGUGACCGCAAGGUUGAAACUCAAAAGAAUUGACGGGGACCCGCACAAGCGGUGGAGCAUGUGGUUUAAUUUGAAACGCGAAGAACCACCAAAUCUUGACAUCCCUUGACAACUCUAGAUAGAGCCUUCCCCUUGGGGGACAAAGAGACAGGUGGUGCAUGGUUGUCGUCAGCUCUGUCGUGAGAUGUUGUUAAGUCCCGCAACGAGCGCAACCCUUAAGCUUAGUUGCCAUCAUUAAGUUGGGCACUUUAAAGACUGCCGUGACAAACCGGAGGAAGGUGGGGAUGACGUCAAAUCAUCAUGCCCCUUUUGAUUUGGGGUACACACGUGGUACAAUGGACAAUACAAAGGGCAGGGAAACCGCGAGGUCAAGCAAAUCCCAUAAAGUUGUUUUCAGUUCGGAUUGUAGUUUGCAAAUUGACUAAUGAAGCUGGAAUCGCUAGUAAUUGAGAUCAGCAUGGUACGGUGAAUACGUUCCCGGGUUUUGUACACACCGCCCGUCACACCACGAGAGUUUGUAACACCCGAAGCCGGUGGAGUAACCUUUUAGGAGCUAGCCGUCGAA
rnacentral:rRNA from 1 species